AUAAAUGAACCGCCAGUUCUCUCUGUUUCGGCAGAGAUUGAGCAGGCAAUUACCCUUUGUGAACUGUAAUUGUACUUGGGUACACUACUCUUUCGAGAGGACGGUACCCGUAUUUAUAAACCCCCAUAUAUGUUUAUCUGAAUUUUGAACUAAGAGAAA
rnacentral:misc_RNA from 1 species